rnacentral:rRNA from 1 species
UACGUAGGUGGCAAGCGUUAUCCGGAUUUACUGGGUGUAAAGGGCGUGUAGGCGGGAAAGCAAGUCAGAUGUGAAAACCACGGGCUCAACCUGUGGCCUGCAUUUGAAACUGUUUUUCUUGAGUACUGGAGAGGCAGACGGAAUUCCUAGUGUAGCGGUGAAAUGCGUAGAUAUGAGGAGGAACACCAGUGGCGAAGGCGGUCUGCUGGACAGCAACUGACGGUGAGGCGCGAAAGCGUGGGGAGCAAACAGG